AUUGAACGCUGGCGGCAGGCCUAACACAUGCAAGUCGAGCGGAUGAAGGGAGCUUGCUCCUGGAUUCAGCGGCGGACGGGUGAGUAAUGCCUAGGAAUCUGCCUGGUCGUGGGGGCUAACGUCCGGAAACGGGCGCUAAUACAGCAUCCGUCCUGAGGGAGAAAGUGGGGGAUCUUCGGACCUCACGCUAUCAGCUGAGCCUAGGUCGGAUUAGCUAGUUGGUGGGGUAAAGGCCUACCAAGGCGACGAUCCGUAACUGGUCUGAGAGGAUGAUCAGUCACACUGGAACUGAGACACGGUCCAGACUCCUACGGGAGGCAGCAGUGGGGAAUAUUGGACAAUGGGCGAAAGCCUGAUCCAGCCAUGCCGCGUGUGUGAAGAAGGUCUUCGGAUUGUAAAGCACUUUAAGUUGGGAGGAAGGGCAGUAAGUUAAUACCUUGCUGUUUUGACGUUACCAACAGAAUAAGCACCGGCUAACUUCGUG
rnacentral:rRNA from 1 species